rnacentral:rRNA from 2 species
AAGUCGAACGAUGAAGGGGAGCUUGCUCCCUGGAUUAGUGGCGAACGGGUGAGUAACACGUGAGCAACCUGCCCCUAACUCUGGGAUAACGCUUCGAAAGGAGUGCUAAUACCGGAUACCAGCACGGAGGACAUCCUCUGUGCUUGAAAGUUUUUCGGUUAGGGAUGGGCUCGCGGCCUAUCAGCUUGUUGGUGAGGUAAAAGCUCACCAAGGCGACGACGGGUAUCCGGCCUGAGAGGGCGACCGGACACACUGGGACUGAGACACGGCCCAGACUCC